AAACCGAGCUGACCGCGCGCCGGAUCUCACAGUCUCGGUGUUUUUCUUUUGGAAUCGGCAUACGACGUGCCGCGGGAUUACAGUGUGCGUAUCGUAAAACCGAGAGCGACUGGUGGAGAGGAGUUUAAGGGAAUUGAACACAAGCAAGGAAGACGCGAGAAGAGAGGGCGGCGCAGGAGCGAGAAACAAGAAAAGAGGAAACGAGAUACAACGAAGGGGAACGUCGAGUAGCGGGGAGAGAAAUAGGGCGCGUACCGUAUAAUGUUGGCGCGAGAAAAAGUAUAAUGAGAGGGAAUCCCGCCGCUGUAAGUACAAAGGAAUAUUACAGUAAGAUCUGUAACGUGCAAAGCCGCAAAAUAAACGAAGCACGCGUAAUGGGGUAUCGGCUCUGUCGUCUCCCCUGUGGUACGCCUUCAGCUGCCGCGCACGCGUGUUACACUCCAUGCGCAAGGGAUAGAGAGGGAGCAAGUCAGGCCUGCGCAAACAAACCAAUAAGAAUAACACGUGGCAGCAAAGGAAGUGAGCGAGAAAAGCGAAAGAACAAGCAGGAAAAAGCCGCGAGACGCGACACAAGAAGCGUCUAUCUUGGAUAUCUCGCCGACAGAGGAUGGCAAGCGGUCGAGCUAUGUAGCCUGACACAGUCACAGUAACCAAACGGACUACUUAUUCGAUCGAUGAGUUAUUCGUACUUAACCUCCAAACAUCAAAAACACAGACGAAAUCAAAACAUUUAGGAUUCGUUCUUAGUCAUAUUGUACACAUGAAAAGUACAUACAAGUACAUCACUGAAGGGAAAAAGAGGUAACGCAACAUCGAUAUGCACCUGGCCCAAUUUCACAGUCCGACCCUUGAAGCACAGUGAUCGUCGCUCGAAAAUAAAAAAGAAAGUACACGAGUGGAAAA